GUUGAACGCUGGCGGCAUGCUUUACACAUGCAAGUCGAACGGUAACAGGUUAAGCUGACGAGUGGCGAACGGGUGAGUAAUGCAUCGGAACGUGCCCGGUCGUGGGGGAUAACGCAGCGAAAGCUGCGCUAAUACCGCAUACGAUCUAAGGAUGAAAGCGGGGGACCGUAAGGCCUCGCGCGAUCGGAGCGGCCGAUGUCAGAUUAGGUAGUUGGUGGGGUAAAGGCUCACCAAGCCAACGAUCUGUAGCUGGUCUGAGAGGACGACCAGCCACAGUGGGACUGAGACACGGCCCAGACUCCUGCGGGAGGCAGAAGUGGGGAAUUUUGGACAAUUGGCGAAAGCCUGAUCCAGCAAUGCCGCGUGCAGGAAGAAGGCCUUCGGGUUGUAAACUGCUUUUGUACGGAGCGAAAAGGUCUCCUCUAAUACAGGGGGCUCAUGACGGUACCGUAAGAAUAAGCACCGGCUAACUACGUGCCAGCCGCCGCCGUAA
rnacentral:rRNA from 1 species